rnacentral:lncRNA from 1 species
GUUUAGCAUGAUUCUAUUGUCAUAUUCAAAUGUUAAGAUGGAAUGCAUGGUGCAUUGAAAAUCAUUUGAGUCAUGAAAGAGCUCGGGAGUGAUGAAGACUUGUUUAUCACUCAAAAUAUACAUUCAUUGAAGAGAAUUUAGAAGUAGACAGAUUUGAUUUCUUUCGCGAUUUCUUUGGCGGUGAAUUGUGUCAUGCUGCAAAGAAUACAUCGGUCCCGAAGUCACGGUAUACCCAACAAUCAGAAUUGCGAAACUCGCCGUAUAAGUGUUAUCAGUGCGAUGAGGAUAGAAGUUGAAAAACGGAAAGAAUCGAGGUACAGCCGAGCAACACGAAAGUGAGCACAAACUGGUCGGUUGGUUGACACAUGGUUGACAAUAGAUACCAGAGGCCUGACUUGUCAAUGAAACUGAGGAUUUCUAAAGCUUUCGAAUGCGGUUCUCGUGAUUUGGCUAAACCAGAGUCUGAGAUAAAAGAAAAGGUUAGUGAUGAUAAUGAAGCAAGCUAGUUGUGAAGUAUAGAUUUAAAACGAGAAAGAGAAGCCAACAGCGUUAUGAUGGCGAACGCUAGUACAAGCAAUGCCAAGGGACUUUGUACUAAAGACUAUGGAGGGGAAGAGAGUGAUAGUUUGAGGUAUAUAUCUGGUUAUAUACCGGAUAUGUAACUGCAUGGAUAAUUACCUUGAAUAUAUAAUUAAGCUAUUGUUAUAUGUGUUCAUUUCUUAUUCAAACCUCUCUCCUCCGCAGAGGUUUCAACGAGCUUUAAUUACAUGGCGCUUACCGUAUCGAACUGCUGUGUGGAAGACGCGCAGACCGAAACCUCUGCGGAGGAGAGAGUAUUCAAACCCUAUAGUUUUCCCUGGGGAGCCAUAUCAAAUCCUUUCCCUUGCUUUAAGAUUGUAUCGGAUUUAUAUACCAAUGAAGAACCAAGAAAACCGACUCCAUUAUUAAAUAAGUAAGAGUUGUAUACCGAGGAUGGAGGCUUUAUGUCAGAUACAUUCCCUCGGGCCAUGCAGCCUGUCGGGUAUGUAUCUGAUAUUAAGCCUCCAACCUCGGUAUAUAAAUCUAUAUGCCGGUAAGUAUGAAACAUCUCUCUUGUGUAAACACGUGACGAACUAGCUGCUAAGGAUAAUGCGAUGGGCUUGAUAUUUUUCUGAGGGUUGUCUAACAGGCCGAUCAAAACGUUUUCCUGAGAAUACCCCGCGAGAAAGAAUGAAGGGAUAAUAAUUCAAGCCAUAUGAGAUAACCAAUUCAAGUUCAGGUUAUUUUAACCAAUCUGUUUUUAGAGAGUGUGUCCGGUAUGUAUCACACUGUCAUUUGGUCCAGUAAUGAAAUGGAAGGAGUCCGCUGACAAGCUAGUACUGGCGGUGAGUAAUCAGAGGCUCGUUUACCAAUUUGGUAAC